ACUGUUUUGGCAGAAUAAAUGCAUUAAUUUUAGGAAUUAAUUAUGGAUUAUUAAAAGAUGUUAAUUUCCAAAUAGUA
rnacentral:tRNA from 1 species